CCACAAGCGAAAUGGUGGAAACUAUUGGUGGAAAGAUUCAUGCCUUCAUUGAAAGUGUCAAGUAUGGCUGUGUCGUGUUAUCGUGUAUGUUCGUGAAUCGUGAUAACGGUGAAUCGUGAUAACGCACUUGACUUGAUCAAGCAGUUAACUGUCGAGUUUGCCUUGGAGGAUGUGACGUCUUUUGCUUCUGCCAGUCAUAUUACUUCUAAUCAUUUCAAGCAACAUGUUAUACCCAUCAUACCUCCACAUGAAAGGACUGCUCUUACAUCCCACGAAAGACUGGCUUCUGCCAGUCAUAUUACUUCUAAUCAUUUCAAGCAACAUGUUAUACCCAUCAUACUCCACAUGAAAGGACUGCUCUUACAUCCCACGAAAGACUCCCCAGUUGGAGUGAACAAAACUCGAUCUAGGAAAUGAUAUCCAAUCAAUGAGGACAUCUCAAAGGAACAGAGAUUCAGGAUUAUAUUCAGUAUUAUAUCAUGCUCGCGAUCAGUAUGCUGUCGACCUUGAAGUUACUUAUAACAGCUUGGGAGUCGGUGGAACAAAAAUAAGAACGACAGCUACGUAGCCCCACGUGAGGUUAUGCCUGUCAAGUAAUCAAUGUCAUUUAAGCUCGACUCUAUCUUGGCCUUUUUCUUUUGACUUACGGUCGACAAUCAAAAAGGCGUGCCUUGUUUUUCGGAAAAAAUAGUAUGGACAGCGUGCCCUGGUCAGUUAAUUGAGCCUGGCGUCAUCCAACACUCGAGGGCAGCAGAAGGACGAUCCACAGCUCCCCGGCCGAAUUGCACUGGAGCGAGUCGACGAAGUAGCCAGCAUCCUUCUGAACUCAAUUCAAAGUCUUUUCGAUGUCCAACUUUGCUAAUGGCGGGUCCGCGAUUGCUGUCGCUUCAUGAUUAGAAUCAAACUUGUGGUUUCAAGGCGACCGAAAAGAAAUAACACUGGGCGGUGUUAAGCGAUAGAUGUUUUUUUUUUCGUAACAACUUCUGGAGGCCUAUUGCAUUCUUCAAAGCCUUCUUAUGAUUUCUGUCAAAUCAAGAAGGGGGACCAUCGGCAUUCAGCUUUCUACGUUGGAAAUAUGUUCCGCCAGUUUUCUGUUUCUUCCGGCUCUCUACUACGGAUGUUUUUAUUCGAUGCUGGCGGUCAAUUCUUUCAACCCGGAACUUUCGUCGUUUAAUAACUCAACAUUGUCGUGGCGCAUUCACCCCGGGCAAGUUUGGAUGGCCAUUUUCUCGUCAAUGAUGCGUUUUAGAACAUACAAAUCGUGUUGAUAUUUUGCGAUGCUGUGUAGAUGAGUCAAAUGAAUACAUGUGUAUUUACGA
rnacentral:misc_RNA from 1 species